GACGAACGUUGGCGGCGUGCUUAAUACAUGCAAGUCAACUGAAGCAGUGGUAGCAAUAUCGCUGUGGAGGUGGCGCACGGGUGAGUAACACGUAGGUAAUCUGCCUUCAGGUCUGGCAUAACUCCGGGAAACCGGGGCUAAUAGCAGAUGAUGCAGCGGCUCGACAUCGAGACAGUUGUUAAAGCUAUGGCGCCUGAAGAUGAGCCUGCGUCUGAUUAGCUAGUUGGCGGGGUAACGGCCCACCAAGGCAACGAUCAGUAGCUGGGCUGAGAGGAUGAUCAGGCACACAGGAACGGAGACACGGUCCAGACUCCUACGGGAGGCAGCAGUAAGGAAUAUUGCGCAAUGGGAGAAAUACUGAAGCAGCAACGCCGCGUGAGGGACGAAGGGCUUUUGCUUGUAAACCUCUGUAGUGAGAGAAAAAAAUCCCAAUCUUUGGGACAUGAUGGUAUCUCAAAAGUAAGCCCCGGCUAACUACGUG
rnacentral:rRNA from 1 species